rnacentral:rRNA from 1 species
AAAGUUUGAUCCUGGCUCAMRGGSGAAUGCUGGCGGCGUGCUUAKCAUAUGCAAGUCGAGCGAGAAAGCACCUUCGGGUGUGAGUACAGCGGCGAACGGGUGAGUAACACGUGGGCAACCUGCCCUGGARACCGGGAUAACGUUCCGAAAGGGACGCUAAUACCGGAUGACGCGCGACCUGCCAAGUGGGUCGCGCCAAAUGGUAGCGUAAGCUUCUGCUCUGGGAUGGGCCCGCGCCGGAUUAGCUUGUUGGUGAGGUAACGGCUCACCAAGGCGACGAUCCGUAGCUGGUCUGAGAGGACGAUCAGCCACACUGGGACUGAGACACGGCCCAGACUCCUACGGGAGGCAGCAGUGGGGAAUCUUGCGCAAUGGGCGAAAGCCUGACGCAGCAACGCCGCGUGAGCGAAGACGGCCUUCGGGUUGUAAAGCUCUGUCAGGAGGGACGAAGCCACUCAGGUGAAUAGCCGAGAGGGUGACGGUACCUCCAGAGGAAGCCCCGGCUAACUACGUGCCAGCAGCCGCGGUAAUACGUAGGGGGCGAGCGUUGUCCGGAAUCAUUGGGCGUAAAGCGCGUGUAGGCGGCCAUCCAAGUCCGAUGUGAAAGCUCGGGGCUCAACCCCGAGUCUGCAUUGGAAACUGGCUGGCUAGAGUCCGGAAGAGGAGACUGGAAUUCCUGGUGUAGCGGUGAAAUGCGCAGAUAUCACGAAGAACACCGGUGGCGAAGGCGGGUCUCUGGGACGGUACUGACGCUGAGACGCGAAAGCGUGGGGAGCAAACAGGAUUAGAUACCCUGGUAGUCCACGCCGUAACGAUGGGCACUAGGUGUGGGAGGUGUCGACUCCUUCCGUGCCGUAGCUAACGCAUUAAGUGCCCGCCUGGGGAGUACGGCCGCAAGGCUAAAACUCAACGUAUUGACGGGGGCCYGCACAGCAGCGAGCAUGUUGUUUAAUUCGACGCAACGCGAGAGCUUACCUAGCUUGACAUGACUUGUACUCUGAACAGAGCCCCUCGCAGAGCAGCUMAGUGGKGCAUGCUGUCGUMGCUCGGUCUGAAUGUGGUUAGUCCGACCGAGCACUUKUCCUWGUUGCAGCGGUUAUGGCCGGGAACUYAKGGAUACUG